CCUUCGCUGCUUCUUCCGUGACCCACUCGCGCUCCUCCUCCCUCGCGAUCUCCCGAUCCCACUACUCCCUGUUCUGUGGCUCUAAAUUCCCAAUUCCAACCCUAAUUUUCCUCCUCGGGAUCGGCGGGGAGAUUCGGAGAUCGAGCUCCGAAGACAGAGGAGGAGGACACGGCGGGCGCCGGGAAGAUGACGCGGCGCUGCUCCCACUGCAGCCACAAUGGCCACAACUCCCGGACGUGCCCUAACCGUGGCGUCAAGCUCUUCGGGGUGCGGCUCACCGAUGGAUCCGUCCGGAAGAGCGCCAGCAUGGGGAACCUCUCCCUCCUUGCCGGAUCCAGCGGCGGCGCGUCGCCCGAGCCCGGAGGCGGCGCCGCGGCGGACGGAUACGCGUCGGAGGAUUUCGUCAAGGGGUCGUCUUCCAGCUGCCGCGAGCGAAAGAAGGGUACUCCAUGGACUGAAGAGGAGCAUAGAAUGUUUUUACUUGGUUUGCAGAAGCUUGGCAAAGGUGAUUGGCGUGGCAUAUCACGUAACUAUGUGGUAUCAAGGACACCGACUCAAGUAGCCAGCCAUGCACAGAAGUAUUUUAUUCGUAAAGCCAAUAUGACAAGAAGAAAGAGAAGAUCAAGCCUCUUUGAUAUGGUUCCUGAUGAGUCCCUUGAAUUCGAGCAGUUUCCAGUGAAUUUCAAAGACUCAGAAACACAAAUUAAGAAUCUACCUUUGAUACCUCCAACUCUGAAUGAGGAAUGUGAAUCCAUGGACUCUAAUGACUCAAUGACCGGAGAAGCAGGUGCCCCACAGCCAGAAGCUCCACAGUGCAGUUAUCCUGUGAUACUUCCAGCUUAUUAUUCACCAUUUCUACAAUUUUCAUACCCUUAUUGGUCGGGAUACAAAGCAGAUGCUUCAGAGCAGCAGACACAUGAAAUUAUUAAGCCAACAGCAGUACAUUCAAAGAACCCCAUAAAUGUUGAUGAGCUUGUGGGUAUGUCCAAACUGAGUAUAGGAGAGUCUGGUGGAGAAACCACAUCUUCACUGGACUUACUUGGAGGGUCGAGGAGGCAAUCUGCUUUUCAUGCUAAUCCAUCCACAAAGGCUCAGGCAUGAUCCAACUAUCCAGAUGGUCAACAAGUCCAGGUUUUGUUCUCUUUGAUCCUAUUGCAGUGAAUAAUGAUACAUGAUACAAGCAGUUAAGAAGUCGAAAGAUGAGAGAGGAAAGCUUCAGGUGGCUCGAGUCAUUUUUCUAUAGUAAAUUACCGAGAGACGUCUCCAUCUUCACGCCACCUUUCUGAUGAACAAAAGUCAAUCUUUUGGAUUGUUGUGUAACCCACGGAUCAGGUUAAUUACAAUGCAUAAUAAGCCCACCACUGACGGGAUCGAAGACACCACCACUGCUCACCACAAGGGACUGAAACACCCUGGAAUUCUGUACUAUUUGUACCAGAAGAAAGAAAAACAUAACAAUAAAGCAGUGAACCAAUCCAAUGCUGAGAAGCAGCCGAGAGAAGGUACUCCUCCUGUACUUGGAAAGAGUCAGAUGACAGCAGGACGGAGAAGGCCAGCUUAUUUUGUACUUCUCUGGGUAGAGUGGGAAAAAUCUAAUAUAACAUAAAAUAAAUGACAUGUUUUAUUGGUCAUAAAAAUAAUAAUAUUAUUAUUAUUACAAUACAUGAAAUGAUUAAUUUAUUAAUCUUGACAAGUCA